ACACACACACACACACACACACACACACACACACAAUGUAUGCAAUGGUGGGAGUGCAAAAUGGUACAGACGCUGUGGAAAAUGCUCUGGCUGUCUUAGCAAAUUAAAUAUACACUUAUCAUGUUACCCCACAGUUUCACUCCUAUGCAUUUGUCCAAGAGAAAUAAAAGCAUCGUUUGGUGGUUGGUUCACACAAACACCUGAAUGCAAGUGUUUAUUUAUAAUCAUCAAACACUGGAAACACCCACAUGUCCUUUAGUGGGUGAAUGGCUGAACAAACCAUGAUGAAAUGGACAGUUUACUCAGCCAUACAAAAGAAGAAACUAUGGCUGAAGGCCUGCGUAGACCAAGAUGCAGACCUUCCCCAGAAGGAAAGGGACUUCCUCCUACCUGAAGGUCUUUGAGUUGAGAUGCUGGACUCUUGCUGAAGUAUCAGCUCUCCCUGAGUCUCCAGCCUGCCAGUCUUCUGAUGGAACAACAUCAUGGCUCCCCAGCUCAUAGACUGUACCUCUUAGGACUUGUCAGUGCCCAAACUCUUGUGAGCCAGUCCUCAUAAUCAAUCUAUAUCUCUACCAACUAUUGGUUUUGUUUCUCUGGAGAGCCCCCAUGAAUGCAAAGGGUUAAAGGAGCAACGUUAUCUGAAAGGGCUUUGGCAACUCUUUGGGGAUUUAUGCACAGAAAGGUUGGGUAUGAUCGCUCUUGGACUUGGCCUUCCCCGCCUCAGUUUUCGUCUCUGCAAAAUAGCCUCAGGGGGUUGCUGUGAGACCUCUUCUGGCCACCUGGACCCCUGCAUUUUUAGCCUUGGAGCUGAUCACUGUAUAUGUUACUUACCUUGUCUGUUGACUGUCUGUCCCACUGGAACAGAAGCAGGGAUUUUGCUGUUUUGUCACCCAAACAGUAGCUGGUUCACAGUACCUGCUCAGUAAGUAUGCUUUAAAUGAAUGGGCAUAUCUUAUUCAUGAUCUGCCUGUCCAGCUGCUAGCUCAAGGGCUGAGCAAGAGGAGUGGCAUGUUUGCUGAAUGAAUGAAGGAAUGAAUGAAUGAAUACACAUACAUGAGCGCACAGACCCGCAGGCGGAAAACAAAACCAAUGUUGGUGGGGGGAGCCCCAGUUCUUUCCAGGUUUCUGACAAUAGGGUUCUGAUUAAAAAGUACUUUAGGGAGCAGAAAUGGGUCUUUUGCUCUUAAAUCUAUUGUCACUCCUUAGGCACCUGUUCCCAGAGUCAUAAACAUCCCAUUCGCUGUAGGAGGGGUCGGUUUGGAGACGCCCAUGAACCGUCCACAAAUCGCUCGGGUCCAGACCCGCUGCCUCCGCGAAUACUCGCUCCAGGGCGCCGCUUGCCCGCUCCUCCGCGAUAAUCCCUUUUAGAUGCGGACGGACCCGGCUGCAGCCUCGCUCUUCCCUGGCGUGUUUACCAGGUGCGGACCCGGCCUGUUUCAUAUGGAUUAGGCCGAGGCACGGAGUCCUCGCCUGUUUCUCGGUGCAUCUCAGAACCUCGUGAAAUUACAUUAUAGAUUCAUUGUAUAAACAGGAUACGGAGUGCAGCUGCUGUCAGGCAGCCCACAGUCAAAACCGCCGCGAUCUGGAGCCCCAGUGCCCGCCCAGGCCGGCUGCCUGCGAACCUUGCCUGCAAAAAACUGGUCACACGUUUGCUAAUUUAACCUUCAGCUUCUAAAAGCCAAUUUGCUAGCGAAGAUAACCUUUUUGCGCUUUUUCAGCUGGGAGCGAGUGGGAGGAGGGGGUGACCCCUUUCAAGGGUAAAGAGAGGCUUAGAGGCUUGGGGGUCAGGGGUGUUGGGGCAAAGGGCAGGGUUGGCUGCUCACCGCUGUGUUGUCUUGAGCAAAGUACUACACACUUCUGAGCCUCAGUUUCCUCCUUAUAGAGAUGGGAUCAUCUACCGAUCAUGCUGUGAGAAGUAGAUGGCACAUAGGUGACAAGUAAAUCACACCUGUGUCACAUGUGAGCACAGACCUGACUCUAGUGGGUGCCGAGCAAAUAGUAGGUAUUUUGACACUCUGGGCUGGUUCUCUCUUUCAUCGCUGUUGGUGUAGGAAUAAUUAUUGAGAACAAACCACAUUCACAUCCGUAAAGAGCUUGGUUGUCGCAACUGGGCUCAUGGGUUUGAGCUCUGGCCCUACAAUGGACAGGAAGGAGCAUCUCUGAGCGUCAGUUUCCAAAUUUGUAAAAGAAGAAUUUCACCUCUCUUGUGAAUGUUAUUGGGAUUAAAUGGUAUAGAGAUUGCAAAGGUGGUAUAAAGAUGACAAGGUGUGAUAUUCACGUUGGUUGUUACCAUAAUGACAAUAGCACACCCUUGAAAGCAACUCUUCUAAGGAUUUCACAUGCGUUCAUUCCUUUUAUCCUUAUAAGAACCCUGAAGAGUAGGUAUUGUUACUAUUGUCAUAUUGCAUAUGAGGAGCUUGGGACACAGAAAGGCUAGGUAACUUGCCCCAAGUCAUCCAGUGGGUAAGACAUGGAGCAGCAUGGACCCCAGGUGGUCUGGCUCUAGGCAGAGUCCUGGCUUUUGACUGCUUUUCUACACUGCCCAAUCAUAGUAAUCAGAUAGCUGGCAGCACUUACUUUGUGCCUACUCUGUGCCUGAUGCCGUUCCAGAAUAUGUACUCACAUUAUCUCAGGUCCCUGCAGAUUGGCUCUAGUUGGCUCUUUUUUUUUUCUUUUUUCUUUUUUUUGUCCUUUUAGGGCCACACCCAGGGCAUAUGGAAGUUCCCAGGCUAAGGGUCAAAUCAGAACUGGAACUCACAAAGUUGAUAUGAAGAUUGGAGAGCCAUGGGCAAGAGCCCAGGGAGGCAGAUGCAGCCAAGAUCCAAGAUCAAGGCCACGUCUGAAUGUCUGGCUCUGCUCAAGUCCUGUUCUCUGUGUGCUGUGUGUUUUGGGAUUAGAUAGAGAAGGCCUCCUUUGCCCUCCUUUGGCUUCCAGAAUGGGAAGAGGGGCUUCAUCUCCUUCUAAACUUGGAAAUCUCCAACUAGGAUAUUCUGCAACCCCAAAUGACAAAUGAUAGAAGUCGGUUAACCAACAUGGACGGUUGAGGACUUUCCCAAGUCUUGACGCUGAUAAAGCAGCUGAGUACUGUCUGGAUGAGCGCCUGUGUUCCUCCCAGACCCAAGCUGCUUUCUUGAGGACACAGGUGGAUAUACAUAGUUCCCCCUGCUAUUUCUCAAUUUUAUUCUUUAAAAUCCAAGGUCUCUCAAAAAUGUUUAUGUCCCUUAGUCUGGUUUUUCUACCUCAAGUUCUUUGCAUUGUAGUAAUAAUAAGUAAAGAUUAUGAUUCUGAUUUAUACAGAAGGAUGUGAGUGAAUGACUUUGUUUUAGGGGAUCUUGGUUACAAUUUUAAUAUCCAAUAUCAUGGGAUCUUUAAGAAAAUUGUCUAUGAUAGAAUAUUAUAAAAAAUUUAUAAUGGCUUAAGAAUAUCAAAAGUAAAACACAACAAACCAGAAUAGAACUGGUUAUAGAAUAUGAUCUAAAUGUGGGGGUGGGGGGAAGGCUCUCAUAUGCCUAAAAAAGAGACUGGAGAGAAAUACGCUUAACUUUCAGUAGUGGUUAUUUUUGGUUGGAGCAGUUACCAUGAUUUUAUUUUCUUUUUGUUUCCUAUCCACAUAUUCUAUAGUGAACAUGUAUUUCAGUCACAAAUGGAAAAAAGAGUCAAGUAAAACAAAGCUAGACCAUCCAAGAAGGUGAGGCUUCAUGGUAAAAGUGGCACCAGUAUACGCCACUGGUGUAUCAUCGAUUGAUUCAAUUCUUUUAGGGAAAAAACCCCACUGUAAUAGAUAAGUAUUCUGAUGAGCUUUAUGCCCUUUGAUUCCAAAUACUGACUUCUGGGAAUUCCUCUUUUAUUCUGAGAGUAUCAUUCAUUCAGAGCCAAGAGCUAUGUGCCAUGAAGAUGCUCAUUAUAACUUUAUCUCUAAUAACAAAUGCUGUAUAAAACCUCGAUGUCCAACAAUUGGUGAGCAGUUUUGUAAAUUAUGGUGCAUCAACGUGAAGGGGUAUUAUAGAGCCAUUUAAAUGAUAAUUACGAAGACUGUAGCAACACGGAAUACAUUUAUGCUAGGAUGCCAGGGCACAAUGCAGAAUAUCAACUCUGUACCAUUUCACAUGUGUCAGUGCCCAGAGCCCAAAGUAGAUGCUCAAAACCUGAAAAGGAAAAUAAAUUAUUGUGGUGGAGUGAAUGGGAUUCGGGGAGGUUGUGAUUAGCUUGUUUUCUUACAACUUUAUUUAAAUAUUGUUGAUCCUUCAUUUCUUGCCAAAACGGGCAUUUCACUGAACAAAAGCCCUGUUAGAUAUUAGUUUAAAGCAGGGAGAGUGCUGAGUGGGCUCUACACACUUAAAAUAAUUGCGUGAAGGGCUACAGAGGAGGCUGAGUAUGUGUGGAUAGCACUGGGCAGCCUUCUGUAAGCCCUCUGUGUCAGGUUUGCUUCCGGAAAAUGGGGGGAGGGGGAGAGAAUUCAUCUCUGGGAGUCUCCCAGAGCUGACAGUUUCCGAAUCUGAGAUAUUUAUGGAACCCAAUAGCCAGGGGGCUUUGUUUUGCACUUUGCUAAUAACCCCUCUUUGGGGCUGGUCCUGUUGCUGGCAUCAUUUUAAGAAUGUGGAAACUCAGAUUCGGAACAGUGAAAUGGUGUCUGCAAGGUGAAUAGCCAGCAGAUAUUGAAGCAAAAGUGCCACAUUUCUCACAUUUUAUUUUCCUGGCCCAGCGUCACUUUUAGCCUGUGAGGUCCCUUGUGCCCUGGCCCUCAUUCACUCCUCCCUCCUCUCCAGCUCUCUGAAGAUUUUGGACCCAGCUGACUUGUCACCAUUGCCCAUUGACCUCACAGAGCCUGCAGGUCUACCAGGCAGUUGGGGGUGGGGGAUGGGGGUGGGGAUGGAGAAGGUGGAGAUUUGCCUUUGCGUUGUGAGAUUUAAAAAGGUGAAUUGGGGGAGUUCCUGUCGUGGCUCAGUGGUUAACGAAUCUGACUAGGAUCCAUGAGGUUGUGGGUUUGAUCCCUGACCUCGCUCAGUGGGUUAAGGAUCCGUUGUUACCUUGAGCUGUUGCGGACAUGGCUGGGAUCCCGCCUUGCUGUGGCUCUGGUGUAGGCCAGUGGCUACAGCUCCGAUUUGACCCCUAGCCUGGGAACCUCCAUAUGCUGCAGGAGUGGCCCUAGAAAAGGCAAAA
rnacentral:lncRNA from 1 species